rfam:Stegodyphus mimosarum contig14287, whole genome shotgun sequence.
GCCUUAGUGGUGUAGCGGUAAGCACGCUCGGCGCAUAUUCGAGUAGUCCGUGGUUCGAGUCCCGGCGAGAGCA